rnacentral:rRNA from 1 species
UAGUACUAACAGAAAAUACACAAAAUACACAAAUUGUGCUUAUUGUGAUAACGUAAGGGAAAAAAUUGAUAUUACCUUACUAAUAGUGUUGUCUAAAUAACUGGUGCCAGAAGACUCGGUAACACCAGAAACGCGAACGUUAGUCGUCUUAAACAGGCGUAAAGGGUAAGUAGGCUGCUUUAAAAGUCUAUUUUUAAAUAAGUUAUUAAGAAACAGUCCUUUGCUUGCUUGCUUAUUUGCCUGCGAAGCAGGCAAGUAAUAAGCAGGCAAGUUAGGCUAUUCUUAUUAUUAUUAUAAUAAUAAUAAUAAAAAUGGUUGCUGGCUUUUUCUUAUUAUUAUUCUAUAAAUAAAAAGCAAGCAACUAUAAAUUUUCAGACCUUAAAUAAUAAAUUAAGGCUAACUAAAAAUGAAAUUAAGGAAUUAUUAGGAACUUCGCAGUUAUAUUAAUAAUUUUAAUUAAAAAUGGAAUAAAAAUAGAUACACUUAAAGCUAGAAUCAUAAUUGAGAUAAACCAAAUAAUGCUUAUGUGUAAGGGCGAUAUCUGAAAAUACUAAGUAGAAUACUAACGGUGAAAACUUUUUAUCUGGUAAUGAUUGACGCUGAGGUACGAAAGUGAGAACAGGGAAUAGGAUUAGAUACCCAGUUACCUCUCACCGUCAACGAUGAAUGGUAGUUGUUAGUUUAAUUAAAUUAGUGACGAUGUUAACGCGAGAACCAUUCCGCCUUGAGAGUACGGUUGCAAAACUGAAACCAAAAAAAUUAGUCGGUCUCGGUAGUCAUAACAGUA